rnacentral:rRNA from 1 species
CGCUCCAAUCGCGUCUAUUAAAGUUGUUGCGGGUAAAACGCUAGUAGAUGGAAGAAGGCGGGCAGGGGGUGGAGGGCUCUUCAGAGGAACUGCCCAGGUUUGCCAGUGUGAUUGGCGGAGGUUUCGGGGUGCUCUUCGUUGAGUGACUUGGAGCGCCGUCAGGUUUACUUUGAAAAAAUUAGAGUGCUCAAAGCAGGCUUUUCACGCUUGAAUAUUCGUGCAUGGAAUAAUGGAAUAGGAACUCGUUUCUAUUUUGUUGGUUUUCGGAAAUCGAGUUAAUGAUUAACAGGGACAAUUGGGGGCAUUAGUAUUCAGACGACAGAGGUGAAAUUCUUGGACCGUCUGAAGACUGACUACUGCGAAAGCAUUUGCCAAGAGUGUUUUCA